rnacentral:piRNA from 1 species
UAAAGUGUCUUGUUUGUGCCAAGCUGGUGGCA